AUGGUGGUUAUAUCGUGCAUGCAUCAGCUAAGUGGAGCGGUGAUGGUGUUGGUAGAUAGUGAUGAAGUUGAUUGUGUUCGAUGCAUAAAGGAAUAAAUAAUAAAGAAACAAGAACACAACCGAGCACAUAGAUCAAAAGUCUACAGCAACAAAGAAAAGCAAGCAAGCAGGUAACCAGGCAAAUUAAUUAAACAAUCAGACAGACAGACAGGUAGAUGAAGCUAUUCGACGGUUCACAUCCUUGUUUGUUCUAGCUUUUGAUAACUCGAGAAUUACAUUCAGAUUGAUUUCAGGUUAGCUGGAUGCACGAUGACCUCUUGGAUGUUGCAUGAAGCUAUCCAGUAUAUGAAGUUGGCAUUUCUAGUUGAAGACGAUGCUUUAAGAAAUAAAUUUUA
rnacentral:lncRNA from 1 species